rnacentral:rRNA from 1 species
UCCAGUUGAUCCUGCUGGAGGCCACUGCUUUUGGAGUUCGGUUAAGACAUGCAAGUCUAUCUCAAAACUGUUUUUGGGAGGCGCAAGGCUUAGUAACACGUAGACAAUCUGCCUUUAGGAGGGGAAUAACCUUGGAAACUGAGGGUAAUACCCCAUAGGAAAUAAGUGCUGGAACUCGCCUUAUUUCUCAAAUGAGUACUUGACUUUGCAAGUAUUUCGCCUAAAGAUGAGUCUGCGCUCGAUUAGGCUGUUGGUAGUGUAAUGGACUACCAAACCGAUGAUCGAUAGGGGCACUGAGAGGUGUUGCCCCAAGAAGGACACUGAGACAAGGGUCCUAGCCCUACGGGGUGCAGCAGUUACGAAUUCUCUACAAUGCGCGAAAGCGUGAUAGGGGAACUCCAAGUGUCCCCACUAGGGGACUGUGGUAAAGUCUAGAAAGCUUUGCUAGAAAGGGAUGGGCAAGACAGGUGCCAGCAGCCGCGGUAAUCCCUGCGUCCCAAGUGGUGGCCAUGUUUAUUGGGUCUAAAGCAUCCGUAGCCGGGUUUGUAAGUUUUCGGUGAAAUCGUCCAUCUCAAGUGGACGGCGUGCCGAAAAUACUGCAGACCUUGAGACCGGGAGGAGUACAGAGUAUUCCUGGUGUAGGGGUAAUAUCCUAUAAUCCCAGGAGGACUAUCGGUGGCGAAGGCGCUGUACUAGAACGGGUCUGACGGUGAGGGAUGAAAGCCAGGGUAGCGAAGCGGAUUAGAUACCCGCGUAGUCCUGGCCGUAAACGCUGUUCGUUAGGUGUUGCAUGUUCUUCGAGAGCAUGCGGUGCCGUAGGGAAGCCGUUAAACGAACCACCUGGGGAGUACGGUCGCAAGGCUGAAACUUAAAGGAAUUGGCGGGGGAGCACAACCAGGAGUGAAGCUUGCGGUUUAAUUGGAUUCAACGCCGGAAAUCUCACCUAGAGCGACAGCACAAUGAAGGCCAGGCUAAUGGUCUUGCCUGAGGGGCUAAGAGGUGGUGCAUGGCCACCGUCAGUUUGUGCCGUGAGGUGCCCACUUAAUUGUGGAAACAAACGAGACCCAUAUCCUUAUUUGCGAUCUUCCUCUCCGGAGGGAGAGCACAAUAAGGAGACUGCAGAGGUAGACUCUGAGGAGGGUUUGGGCUACGGUAGGUCAGUAUGCCCCAAAUCUCUAGGGCUACACGCGAGCUGCAAUGGCAAAGACAAUAGGAUGCUACCCCGAAAGGGGAUGCAAAUCUGUCAAACUUUGCCCUAGUUCGGAUUGAGGGCUGUAACUCGCUCUCAUGAAGCCGGAAUUCCUAGUAACCGCGAUCCAUACAUUCGCGGUGAAUACGUCCCUGCUCCUUGCACACACCGCCCGUCAAAUCACUCGAGUUGGGUGGGGGUGAGACUUUAUCAUCAGAUAAUUUCGAACC